CCUACGGGGGGCUGCAGUGGGGAAUUUUCCGCAAUGGGCGAAAGCCUGACGGAGCAAUACCGCGUGAGGGAGGAAGGCUCUUGGGUUGUAAACCUCUUUUAUUAAGGAAGAAGAAAGUGACAGUACUUAAGGAAUAAGCAUCGGCUAACUCCGUGCCAGCAGCCGCGGUAAUACGGAGGAUGCAAGCGUUAUCCGGAAUCAUUGGGCGUAAAGCGUCCGCAGGUGGCGAUUCAAGUCUGCUGUUAAAGACAGAAGCUCAACUUCUGAUGGGCAGU
rnacentral:rRNA from 1 species